rnacentral:tRNA from 2 species
GGCGGGGUAGCUCAGCUGGUUAGAGCGUGGGACUCAUAAGCCCGAGGUCGCGAGUUCGAGUCUCGCCUCCGCUACCA